CUCCCUACGGGUGGCAGCAGUGGGGAAUCUUAGACAAUGGGGGAAACCCUGAUCUAGCCAUGCCGCGUGAUCGAUGAAGGCCUUAGGGUUGUAAAGAUCUUUCAGUGGGGAAGAUAAUGACGGUACCCACAGAAGAAGCCCCGGCUAACUCCGUGCCAGCAGCCGCGGUAAUACGGAGGGGGCUAGCGUUGUUCGGAAUUACUGGGCGUAAAGCGCACGUAGGCGGAUUGGAAAGUUGGGGGUGAAAUCCCGGGGCUCAACCCCGGAACUGCCUUCAAAACUCCCAGUCUUGAGUUCGAGAGGGGUGAGUGGAAUUCCGAGUGUAGAGGUGAAAUUCGUAGAUAUUCGGAGGAACACCAGUGGCGAAGGCGGCUCACUGGCUCGAUACUGACGCUGAGGUGCGAAAGCGUGGGGAGCAAACAGGAUUAGAUACCCUAGUAGUCG
rnacentral:rRNA from 1 species